ensembl:lncRNA
UGAAGUUUCAAAUCGAGCACAGAGCCGGGAAGCAGCUUUUGCAGCAGAUGUGGUGCCAGGGCGGCGUGAUGGGGUUGGGGUGCAGCCAGAGGUCUCUGAGCUGCAGGAGAUGAAGAAUUCUGGUGCUGUGCAUGACGUCUGCCCGGAUCUGUUUGAAGAGGAAGUCGAGGCCGCGUGGAGAGCAAAUAGAGAAGGCACGAAGUUGGGAAAGCAGCAAAAGGGAACUGCCCCUGGCAGCGGUCUCCGUGACGCCAUCCCCGCUUAUUGACACACUGAGGGCUCUUCAGCCGCGCAGAGCUGUGAAAUUCAGAGCACGCGGCGUCGCUCCAGGAGCGGAGCAUAAACAGAGCGGGGCUCCUCCAAAGCUGAAAUAUUUGACGACGUUUUCUAUUCUUAGCCAUCCGAGCACACGCUCGCGGAACGGAGUCGGAGCGCUGCGUGUCGGCGGGCAGCCACGGGCUGGGGAAGCGCCGCGGCUUCCGCGCACGGCGGGG